rnacentral:rRNA from 1 species
GAUGAACGCUAGCGGCAGGCCUAACACAUGCAAGUCGAACGGUAACAGGGAGGAGCUUGCUCCUUUGCUGACGAGUGGCGCACGGGUGCGUAACGCGUAUACAAUCUACCUCUUGCUGAGGGAUAGCCCAGAGAAAUUUGGAUUAAUACCUCAUGGUAUUAUAGAUAGGCAUCUAUUUAUAAUUAAAGGUUACGGCGAGAGAUGAGUAUGCGUACCAUUAGUUAGUUGGUGAGGUAAUGGCUCACCAAGACAGCGAUGGUUAGGGGUCCUGAGAGGGAGAUCCCCCACACUGGUACUGAGACACGGACCAG